rnacentral:rRNA from 1 species
CCUACGGGUGGCAGCAGUGAGGAAUAUUGGUCAAUGGGCGCGAGCCUGAACCAGCCAAGUAGCGUGAAGGAUGACUGCCCUACGGGUUGUAAACUUCUUUUAUAAAGGAAUAAAGUGAGGCACGUGUGCCUUUUUGUAUGUACUUUAUGAAUAAGGAUCGGCUAACUCCGUGCCAGCAGCCGCGGUAAUACGGAGGAUCCGAGCGUUAUCCGGAUUUAUUGGGUUUAAAGGGAGCGUAGGCCGGCUUUUAAGUCAGCUGUGAAAGUCCGCGGCUCAACCGUGGAAUUGCAGUUGAAACUGGAGGCCUUGAGUGCACACAGGGAUGCCGGAAUUCAUGGUGUAGCGGUGAAAUGCAUAGAUAUCACGCAGAACUCCGAUUGCGAAGGCAGCAUACCGGCGCCCAACUGACGCUGAAGCACGAAAGCGUGGGUAUCGAACAGGAUUAGAUACCCUAGUAGUC